rnacentral:rRNA from 1 species
AGUGAACGCUGGCGGUAGGCCUAACACAUGCAAGUCGAACGGCAGCACAGUAAGAGCUUGCUCUUACGGGUGGCGAGUGGCGGACGGGUGAGGAAUACAUCGGAAUCUACUUUUUCGUGGGGGAUAACGUAGGGAAACUUACGCUAAUACCGCAUACGACCUACGGGUGAAAGCAGUGGAUCUUCGGACCUUGCGCGAUUGAAUGAGCCGAUGUCGGAUUAGCUAGUUGGCGGGGUAAAGGCCCACCAAGGCGACGAUCCGUAGCUGGUCUGAGAGGAGGGUCAGCGACACUGGAACUGGGACACGGUCCAGACUCCUAAGGGAGGCAGCAGUGGGGAAUAUUGGACAAUGGGCGCAAGCCUGAUCCAGCCAUACCGCGUGGGUGAAGAAGGCCUUCGGGUUGUAAAGCCCUUUUGUUGGGAAAGAAAAGCAGCAGGUUAAUACCCCGCUGUUCUGACGGUACCCAAAGAAUAAGCACCGGCUAACUUCGUG